UACAGAGGGUGCGAGCGUUGUUCGGAAUUACUGGGCGUAAAGCGCACGUAGGCGGAUCUUUAAGUCAGGGGUGAAAUCCUGGAGCUCAACUCCAGAACUGCCUUUGAUACUGAGGGUCUUGAGUUCGGGAGAGGUGAGUGGAACUGCGAGUGUAGAGGUGAAAUUCGUAGAUAUUCGCAAGAACACCAGUGGCGAAGGCGGCUCACUGGCCCGAUACUGACGCUGAGGUGCGAAAGCGUGGGGAGCAAACAGG
rnacentral:rRNA from 1 species